CCCUAUGUGAAUAGGUUACACUCUCUGUACCAACCUGCACAUCUCCACCAGAUCCAGGAUCUGAAGAUCCAUCAUACACUUCGUAAUAUGUUGUGCUUGGAGUACUGUUCUUAACGAGGAAACUUUCUGAAUAUGCAAGUGUUGCGGCAUCUGUUGUCCACCCGCCAUAGAACGAAUACUGUUCUGCCAUCUCGGCUUCUGAACCGGAAACACUAACCGUUGUGAAUACCUUGUCAAUGUUAUUUCUCUUCUCGAGAUAUGCACAGUUAGAGUUUUCUGUGUAUUGUCCUUCUACAAGUUCAGAACCGAUAUGCGAUGAUAUCUCAAGCGUGUGGUCCGUCCAGAGAAUAACAUGAUCGCCAAUCUGCACACCCGUGAAAUCGGCAUCAGCACACGUCCAUGUACUUCCUGAAUUGGCGGGAGGGC
rnacentral:rRNA from 1 species